rnacentral:lncRNA from 1 species
GCGCCGUUGCCGGGGAGAAAGACGGUUUCCUGAGAUAACUUUAAGUCUUGCUAUUAUCUUGUAUUAUACUUUUAUUCUUUUAUCUUUUUAUUUUUUCCAUCUUUAUGGAUAACUCAAAUUCCACACCUAUUAUUGAAUUCUUUGCACCUUUGGAGACCAGCCAUAGACCAUGGGAGUCAACAAGUCCUUUCUUUGCCCCUAAUUAUGAUCUGUGUCCGAAGUUGAUUGCAAUAGGUCAAAACCAAACCUUUUUUAUAGCUGAGGUCCUAUCUUUUAAUCAAGAAGAUAAUGAACUUUUGGCUACACCUAGGGAAUCUUUUAAUCUUUCUAUAAAUUCAGCUUUAAACCUAGCCCUACAAGACCAUGUUUUUCCUUGAUAUUUUCACAUUGGUCUUAAUCAUAUAACCUUUGGUAGAGUUUUUCUUUCUUUAUCUGUUUGUAAAGCAAGGUAUGUCUUCAUUCGUGGACAUCCUUCUUGCACUAGUCUUCAUAAAAAAUUCCUAG